GGUCAGUAGGUUGGUCGUGCCACCGGUACGUACUGGUCUCACUGAUUCCUCCUUCCUGAAGAACCGUAAUGCCAUUAAUUUGGUGUUGCGGGGAAACAGGACUGUUACUUUGAAAAAAUUAGAGUGUUUAAAGCAAGCUAACGCCUGAAUACAUUAGCAUGGAAUAAUGAAAUAGGACGAUCGAUCCUAUUUUGUUGGUUUCUAGGAUUGACGUA
rnacentral:rRNA from 1 species